rnacentral:lncRNA from 1 species
UGUUGGUGACCUUCUGCUGUUUUCUGUCCAAUGCAUGGUCGGGUUGUUGUCUCCUUCACACAUUCCCCCUUUCCAUUCUUAAUUUAAAAACCUCGGCCACAAAAGAAAGUUUUUUUUUACGGCGGAGAUCGAAAAUUAUUUUCCGCAUAAUUCAGAACAUUAUUCUUCUUUUGCUGAUAAGAGGGCAUAAAUUAGAGGUACGUAGUUUCUAUUUUUACAUCCGUGUUAAGUAUAUAACUGAUAAAAGUAUUUCGGACAGCACUUAAAA